rnacentral:tRNA from 1 species
CCAUAGCUCAGUGGUUAGAGCAUCCAACCAGUACCUGGAAGGUCAUGGGUUCGACUCCCGAAUUGUCCCUA